rnacentral:rRNA from 1 species
GUAGGGAAUAUUGCGCAAUGGGGGAAACCCUGACGCAGCGACGCCGCGUGAGUGAUGAAGGCCUUCGGGUCGUAAAGCUCUGUUGCAGGGGAAUAAAAAAAUGAAGGUACCCUGUGAGGAAGGAUCGGCUAACUUCGUGCCAGCAGCCGCGGUAAGACGAGGGAUCCUAGCGUUGCUCGGAAUCAUUGGGCGUAAAGAGGGCGUAGGUGGCUUGGUAAGUCAGAGGUGAAAGCCCAGGGCUCAACCCUGGAAGUGCAUUUGAUACUGCUGAGCUUGAGUGUCGGAGAGGUUACCGGAAUACCUGGUGUAGUGGUGAAAUACGUAGAUAUCAGGUGGAACACCGGAGGCGAAGGCGGGUAACUGGACGAACACUGACACUGAGGCCCGAAAGCGUGGGGAUCAAACAGGAUUAGAUACCCCUGUAGUCC